GAGCUGGAAGGUGAGUAGACUGUCAUCAGCGCUAUCACCCUGGGGAUAUGGUCGAAACAAAAUUCUGGAGCCAAACAGAUGUGGGUUUGGAAAAUGGAAAGAAGUGACAAAAGGUUCAAAAGGUGCAGAAUAGCAACGGGAUGUCUGGUGCCAAAAGACAAGAUCGUUUUGGAGUUUCCAUGUUUUUUUAAUAAGACAAGUUUGGGGGCAAA